rnacentral:rRNA from 1 species
GACGAACGCUGGCGGCGCGCCUAACACAUGCAAGUCGAACGGAGCUGAGAGAAGCUUGCUUUUCUUAGCUUAGUGGCGAACGGGUGAGUAACGCGUGAGUAACCUGCCCUGGAGUGGGGGACAACAGUUGGAAACGACUGCUAAUACCGCAUAAGCCCACGAUCCGGCAUCGGAUUGAGGGAAAAGGAUUUAUUCGCUUCAGGAUGGACUCGCGUCCAAUUAGCUAGUUGGUGAGGUAACGGCCCACCAAGGCGACGAUUGGUAGCCGGACUGAGAGGUUGAACGGCCACAUUGGGACUGAGACACGGCCCAGACUCCUACGGGAGGCAGCAGUGGGGGAUAUUGCACAAUGGGGGAAACCCUGAUGCAGCGACGCCGCGUGGAGGAAGAAGGUUUUCGGAUUGUAAACUCCUGUCGUUAGGGACGAUAAUGACGGUACCUAACAAGAAAGCACCGGCUAACUACGUG